rnacentral:rRNA from 1 species
AGCUUGCUCUUAUGAAGUUAGCGGCGGACUGGUGAGUAACACGUGGGUAACCUGCCCAUAAGACUGGGAUAACUCCGGGAAACCGGGGCUAAUACCGGAUAACAUUUUGAACCGCAUGGUUCGAAAUUGAAAGGCGGCUUCGGCUGUCACUUAUGGAUGGACCCGCGUCGCAUUAGCUAGUUGGUGAGGUAACGGCUCACCAAGGCAACGAUGCGUAGCCGACCUGAGAGGGUGAUCGGCCACACUGGGACUGAGACACGGCCCAGACUCCUACGGGAGGCAGCAGUAGGGAAUCUUCCGCAAUGGACGAAAGUCUGACGGAGCAACGCCGCGUGAGUGAUGAAGGCUUUCGGGUCGUAAAACUCUGUUGUUAGGGAAGAACAAGUGCUAGUUGAAUAAGCUGGCACCUUGACGGUACCUAACCAGAAAAGCCACGGCUAACUACGUGCCAGCAGCCGCGGUAAUACGUAAGUGGCAAGCGUUAUCCGGAAUUAUUGGGGCGUAAAAGCGCGCGCAGGUGGUUUCUUAAGUCUGAUGUGAAAGCCCACGGCUCAACCGUGGAGGGUCAUUGGAAACUGGGGAGACUUGAGUGCAGAAGAGGAAAGUGGAAUUCCAUGUGUAGCGGUGAAAAUGCGUUAGAGAUAUGGAGGAACACCAGUGGCGAAGGCGACUUUUCUGGUCUGUAACUUGACACUGGAGGCGC